GCUGACGAGUGGCGGACGGGUGAGUAAUGUCUGGGAAACUGCCUGAUGGAGGGGGAUAACUACUGGAAACGGUGGCUAAUACCGCAUAACGUCGCAAGACCAAAGAGGGGGACCUUCGGGCCUCUUGCCAUCAGAUGUGCCCAGAUGGGAUUAGCUUGUUGGUGAGGUAACGGCUCACCAAGGCGACGAUCCCUAGCUGGUCUGAGAGGAUGACCAGCCACACUGGAACUGAGACACGGUCCAGACUCCUACGGGAGGCAGCAGUGGGGAAUAUUGCACAAUGGGCGCAAGCCUGAUGCAGCCAUGCCGCGUGUAUGAAGAAGGCCUUCGGGUUGUAAAGUACUUUCAGCGGGGAGGAAGGUGUUGUGGUUAAUAACCGCAGCAAUUGACGUUACCCGCAGAAGAAGCACCGGCUAACUCCGUGCCAGCAGCCGCGGUAAUACGGAGGGUGCAAGCGUUAAUCGGAAUUACUGGGCGUAAAGCGCACGCAGGCGGUCUGUCAAGUCGGAUGUGAAAUCCCCGGGCUCAACCUGGGAACUGCAUUCGAAACUGGCAGGCUUGAGUCUUGUAGAGGGGGGUAGAAUUCCAGGUGUAGCGGUGAAAUGCGUAGAGAUCUGGAGGAAUACCGGUGGCGAAGGCGGCCCCCUGGACAAAGACUGACGCUCAGGUGCGAAAGCGUGGGGAGCAAACAGGAUUAGAUACCCUGGUAGUCCACGCCGUAAACGAUGUCUACUUGGAGGUUGUGCCCUUGAGGCGUGGCUUCCGGAGCUAACGCGUUAAGUAGACCGCCUGGGGAGUACGGCCGCAAGGUUAAAACUCAAAUGAAUUGACGGGGGCCCGCACAAGCGGUGGAGCAUGUGGUUUAAUUCGAUGCAACGCGAAGAACCUUACCUGGUCUUGACAUCCACGGAACUUUCCAGAGAUGGAUUGGUGCCUUCGGGAACCGUGAGACAGGUGCUGCAUGGCUGUCGUCAGCUCGUGUUGUGAAAUGUUGGGUUAAGUCCCGCAACGAGCGCAACCCUUAUCCUUUGUUGCCAGCGGUCCGGCCGGGAACUCAAAGGAGACUGCCAGUGAUAAACUGGAGGAAGGUGGGGAUGACGUCAAGUCAUCAUGGCCCUUACGACCAGGGCUACACACGUGCUACAAUGGCGCAUACAAAGAGAAGCGACCUCGCGAGAGCAAGCGGACCUCAUAAAGUGCGUCGUAGUCCGGAUUGGAGUCUGCAACUCGACUCCAUGAAGUCGGAAUCGCUAGUAAUCGUGGAUCAGAAUGCCACGGUGAAUACGUUCCCGGGCCUUGUACACACCGCCCGUCACACCAUGGGAGUGGGUUGCAAAAGAAGUAGGUAGCUUAACCUUCGGGAGGGCGCUUACCACUUUGUGAUUCAUGACUGGGGUGAAGUCGUAACAAGGUAACCGUAGGGGAACCUGCGGUUGGAUCACCUCCUUACCU
rnacentral:rRNA from 1 species